ACUUGACAGAGGCACAAACGGCUUCUCACGAAAGCCAACAUCAGCAUUGCACAGAUGCUAUGAAGCAAGAGCGAUGGCCAAGAUCUGCAGAAGUGAUGAGUGAUUCUGGGUUCAAACUAUGGGAAUGAGCUCACAGAGCAAAACCAGGCAGCUGGAGUCAGCUACUCCCUAGAAUCAUCCAUUACCCCAUGACAGGAGGGGAAGUCGGGGACACGCUGCUCAGGGGAGGAUGAGGCCAGAACCAGAGGGCGGUGCUGAAGAACCGAAGGGAACGCGGUGACAUCUGGACAAGCCAUCAGCGGUAUCAGCCCACACGUCACAGCCGAGGUCAGCACAGCCAUCAGAGCCACAGCCAGCACUGCACUGGGCUGGGGGUUGCAUUUCCCAGCACCGGGCCCCGACCUGCACAGGAGGAACGGCUGCUUUUGGCCCAAUGUGCUGCAAAGGGAGAGGAGGAGGAGCGGGCCACCAAGCUGGAAAUAAUCCCUAACUAGUUCCUUCUCCUCGAAAAGUAGGUUACUUCCCCAUGGCUAACAUCACUGUCACCUUUUAUGUGCCUUAGAAAUCCACGGGCUUGAUGGAUGUAGAGUAAAACUGAAAUGAAAUGCUGGGAGAUAAUGGCCUCGCGUGCUGCUCCCCCUGCCCUGCACUGUGUUGCUGGCUCCAUGCAGCCUGCAGAGAUAGCAGCUCCUGCACUGCCCUGCAGCAUCCUCGGGGCCACAGCAGCACCAGCGCUGCCGGCACGGGAGGGACCUGGGACAAAGCCUUCAUUGGAGGAGGAGGGAAGCAGUGAGGAAGAUGGGGUGCAAUCCGUGCUGAUGGAAAUAAACACAUUCCCCAACAGCUGCACAGGAAAAUAGCCUCUUCCCACUUUCUGCACUCAGGAAGAUGGAGAGGUCGGUGGGGUGAUGGUGCAAUCUCAUGGCCAACUCCUUCCAUGCCGGGCAGUUUGAGGUGCCCCAUCCACACACAACCUCCAGCAGCAGCUGCAGGUAUAACACUGGGAACAUAAAUAAAAGACAGCCAGAGAAUGGGAUUUCUUUGGAGGCUGUGAAGCAAAGAGCCUCACCACUAAUGCAUCUUAGCAGUUCUGACCAACAAAAUCUCCAGUUCAUUUGGCCACUGACCACACUCACACUGCAGAGGUGACGGCAGUGCCUGGUGCAGCCCGUCCUUCGUUUGGAAUUCUGUGUUGGUUUUUUGAUAUCCUCUAAUUUCUCCAUGCUGAGGCAAAUUUGUCACACGCAUGGGUCUGUUUGAUUUCAUUAAACAGAAUAUUUAAG
ensembl:lncRNA